UAGGGAAUAUUGGGCAAUGGCCGAGAGGCUGACCCAGCCAUGCCGCGUGCAGGACGAAGGCUUUCUGAGUCGUAAACUGCUUUUGCCAGGGAAGAAUAAGGCUCGUGCGCGGGCCGACGACGGUACCUGGUGAAUAAGCACCGGCUAACUCCGUGCCAGCAGCCGCGGUAAUACGGAGGGUGCAAGCGUUGUCCGGAUUUAUUGGGUUUAAAGGGUGCGUAGGCGGUCCGUUAAGUCCGGGGUGAAAGCCCACUGCUCAACAGUGGAACUGCCCUGGAAACUGGCGGACUUGAGUACAGACGAGGGUGGCGGAAUGGAUGGUGUAGCGGUGAAAUGCAUAGAUACCAUCCAGAACCCCGAUUGCGAAGGCAGCUGCCUAGACUGUAACUGACGCUGAGGCACGAAAGCGUGGGGAGCGAACAGG
rnacentral:rRNA from 1 species